rnacentral:snoRNA from 1 species
AACCCAUGGUGAGGGCAUCUUCGUAAAAGUUCCUUAUAUCUCUCCUAUGCAUCGUAGAGUGUUUCUAAACCCAUCUGCACAAAAGAAGAGAUAUCAUUAAGUAAUUU